rnacentral:tRNA from 1 species
GAACGCGUAGCUCAGUUGGUAGAGCAUUGGGCUAGUAUUCCAAAGGUCGUAGGUUCGAUCCCCACCGUGGCCA